rnacentral:misc_RNA from 1 species
GUAUUUCUAAUAUCCUCCACAAAUUCAUCCAGGAUUCACGUUGCGUGGUAACGUGACUUGUGACAAUUGUGCCCUGAAGUUCAGUGCACUUUAUAAUAGUAAUAACUGUAGUACAUACCGCGCAAACUACCGCGUCUUACCAAGUAUAUUAUAUUCGCACUUCACGCUUGUAAUAUCAAGGAACAUCGUACAAAGAUUUUAAACUUCAUUCUGAAGAAAUCAUUGACAACCAUCGAAAGCAGCAGGGAAAACAUAUCAAUUCGCAGAAAAAGAAGAAUCCAAGCUUAUUUUCCUCAUAGAUGAUCAGCUGCUGGCAUCAUCGUUGUGCGAAAAUCCUCAGUCGGUCAUCGAAGCUCACGAACAGACAAAGAUUUUCCGUCUUGGAAUUUGGAUACAACGGCAGUUCAGCUUCAGCGACAGAAGCGGCGACAUCAGGAGCGAC